rnacentral:tRNA from 1 species
AAGGGAGACCUAAUUCCGGUAGGAGACGAAAAAAAAGUAGUCCCAACCAAGAAUCAAUCCCAAAAGGUCGGAGCGAGGCGAAAUUGGCUUUCAAACUAGGUUCUGGGUUCACACAAGACCUGAAUCAGGAACAAGGGCUAUUAGCUCAGGUGGUUAGAGCGCACCCCUGAUAAGGGUGAGGUCCCUGGUUCGAGUCCAGGAUGGCCCACCUGUACAGGUGGGAGAAAGAAAAGAAGCUCCGAAUCAGCACCUUAUCUUACUUAUAUAGUAAGAGAGAAUGCUGGCUCUGAGUUCAGAGUCCAGAGGAACCUUGAAAACUGCAUAGAGCUAGGUGAAAAAGCCAAAAAAGAAGACCGCCA